UCCCUCGGCUCCACCUCGGAUUGAAGCUUUUCGCUAUCAAGCUUCUAGACCCUUCUCAUAUUGAGAGGAUAAGGCGAAAAUGCAAAAUUGAUAGUGGUCUUAUUGUUCAAGAGGUGUCAAGUGGGUCCCAUGCUGAGAUGCUUGGAAUCUGUAGAGGUGAUAUUAUCGGCUGUUUUGAGGGAGAGGAAGUUUCUACUACAGUCCAGUUGGAGAAAAUGAUGCUGGAUGUUUGCAAGAAUCGUUUUAUGGGAGGAAUAAACUGGAAUAGCAAAGUGGA